UACGUAGGGUGCAAGCGUUGUCCGGAAUUAUUGGGCGUAAAGAGCUCGUAGGCGGUCUGUCGCGUCGGCUGUGAAAACUCGGGGCUCAACCCCGAGCCUGCAGUCGAUACGGGCAGACUAGAGUGCUGUAGGGGAGACUGGAAUUCCUGGUGUAGCGGUGGAAUGCGCAGAUAUCAGGAGGAACACCGGUGGCGAAGGCGGGUCUCUGGGCCGUUACUGACGCUGAGGAGCGAAAGCGUGGGGAGCAAACAGG
rnacentral:rRNA from 1 species